UCGAGAAUUUUUCACAAUGGGCGCAAGCCUGAUGGAGCGACGCCGCGUGGGGGAUGAAUGGCUUCGGCCCGUAAACCCCUGUCAUUCGCGAUCAAGGCGCAUUAUUUAAAAGAUGAUGUGUUGAUAGUAGCGAAAGAGGAAGGGACGGCUAACUCUGUGCCAGCAGCCGCGGUAAUACAGAGGUCCCAAGCGUUGUUCGGAUUCACUGGGCGUAAAGGGUGCGUAGGUGGCGAAGUAAGUCGGAUGUGAAAUCUCCGAGCUCAACUCGGAAACUGCAUUGGAAACUACCCUGCUCGAGGAUUGGAGGGGGGACUGGAAUACUUGGUGUAGCAGUGAAAUGCGUAGAUAUCAAGUGGAACACCAGUGGCGAAGGCGAGUCCCUGGACAACUCCUGACACUGAGGCACGAAAGCUAGGGGAGCAAACA
rnacentral:rRNA from 1 species